UGGGGAAUAUUGGACAAUGGGCGAAAGCCUGAUCCAGCCAUGCCGCGUGUGUGAAGAAGGUCUUCGGAUUGUAAAGCACUUUAAGUUGGGAGGAAGGGCAGUUACCUAAUACGUGAUUGUUUUGACGUUACCGACAGAAUAAGCACCGGCUAACUCUGUGCCAGCAGCCGCGGUAAUACAGAGGGUGCAAGCGUUAAUCGGAAUUACUGGGCGUAAAGCGCGCGUAGGUGGUUAGUUAAGUUGGAUGUGAAAUCCCCGGGCUCAACCUGGGAACUGCAUUCAAAACUGACUGACUAGAGUAUGGUAGAGGGUGGUGGAAUUUCCUGUGUAGCGGUGAAAUGCGUAGAUAUAGGAAGGAACACCAGUGGCGAAGGCGACCACCUGGACUGAUACUGACACUGAGGUGCGAAAGCGUGGGGAGCAAACAGGAUUAGAUACCAGUAGUCCCUGAGCGGGCUGGCAAGGCGCAU
rnacentral:rRNA from 1 species